rnacentral:lncRNA from 1 species
GCAAAUCAACACGGCGCGUGUCCUUUAGAAGGUUCUAGAAGAUUCUUAGAAUAUUUCCUAAAGAUUCUCUUAGAAGGUUCUAGAAUAUUCUUAGAAGGUUCUAGAAUAUUCUUAGAAGGUUCUAGAAUAUUCUGAUAGAUUCUAGGAAGUUGCUCGAGAAGUUUUCUAAUUAGUAGAAGUUGUUGGAGAAGCGUCCUAGUUAGCGGAAGUAGCUCGAGAAGCUUCCUAUUCAGUAGUAUAUAUAGGAGUCGAGGUUGAAGGGUUCUUCAGUCUCGACAACACAUCUCUUGGAGUUCUAGCUCACCUUUCUGGUGUUGUUCUUGUACUCAUCUGUUUAAUCUAGUUCUGCCACUUCUUCUUGAACUUCUUGUUAGAUUUCAAGUCUGUAUUUUGUGUCCGUGACAGUAGCUUUGAUAAAUGAAUCGCCAAAUCUUUCGCAGCAGGAUUAUCAACUUUUGAAAAGUCAAAAGUAUCAAGUCAUCGAUGAUAACCAUAAUUAGCAAAGAAAGGUGUUUGUUUUGUAGAAGAAUGUACCGUGUUAUUGUAAGCAAACUCUGCCAAUGGCAAAAUAAUUGUC